rnacentral:rRNA from 1 species
UACGUAGGGGGCAAGCGUUGUCCGGAAUCAUUGAGCGUAAAGAGCGUGUAGGCGGCCCGAUAAGUCCGCUGUGAAAGUCCAGGGCUCAACCCUGGGAUGCCGGUGGAUACUGUCGGGCUCGAGUCCGGAAGAGGAGUGUGGAAUUCCUGGUGUAGCGGUGAAAUGCGCAGAUAUCAGGAGGAACACCGGUGGCGAAGGCGGUUUCCUGGCCCAGUACUGACGCUGAGGCACGAAAGCGUGGGGAGCGAACGGG